UCAGGCCUAACACAUGCAAGUCGAGCGGAAACGAGUUAUCUGAACCUUCGGGGAACGAUAACGGCGUCGAGCGGCGGACGGGUGAGUAAUGCCUAGGAAAUUGCCCUGAUGUGGGGGAUAACCAUUGGAAACGAUGGCUAAUACCGCAUGAUGCCUACGGGCCAAAGAGGGGGACCUUCGGGCCUCUCGCGUCAGGAUAUGCCUAGGUGGGAUUAGCUAGUUGGUGAGGUAAGGGCUCACCAAGGCGACGAUCCCUAGCUGGUCUGAGAGGAUGAUCAGCCACACUGGAACUGAGACACGGUCCAGACUCCUACGGGAGGCAGCAGUGGGGAAUAUUGCACAAUGGGCGCAAGCCUGAUGCAGCCAUGCCGCGUGUGUGAAGAAGGCCUUCGGGUUGUAAAGCACUUUCAGUCGUGAGGAAGGUAGUGUAGUUAAUAGCUGCAUUAUUUGACGUUAGCGACAGAAGAAGCACCGGCUAACUCCGUGCCAGCAGCCGCGGUAAUACGGAGGGUGCGAGCGUUAAUCGGAAUUACUGGGCGUAAAGCGCAUGCAGGUGGUUUGUUAAGUCAGAUGUGAAAGCCCGGGGCUCAACCUCGGUAUAUCAUUUGAAACUGGCAGACUAGAGUACUGUAGAGGGGGGUACAAUUUCA
rnacentral:rRNA from 1 species